UUYAAAGUUUGAACAGAAUUUUCAGUGYUCAAACAGAAAAUGUCUUUGUAAAAGGACAGUCUGCUUGGGGUGAUUACAGAGAUGACGUCUGGGCUCUAUUGAGGUCUGUCCACCCUUGAUAUUUCUGAAAACCAAGUUGAGAACUGAGCUCAUGGUGCUGGCAGCAGCUGUGGUGCUGAGGAUUGAAAUGGCCUCUGAAAACCCACUUAGAAUGUCUUGGCCUGGCAAGAGGCAARAGAGCCAGAGAGAUCUUUCUUGCUGAGCAGACCACCAAAUACAGAGUGGAGAAGAGUUUAAUUAACYAGUGUGGAGAAACUGCAGGAGGAGAAAAUAUCUCUUGUGGUUUGCUUGAUGCUGUUCCCGUGUUCUCCUAUCACUUCUCAAGAUAUCAAUGCCAAAUACAAGAAGAGUUUUGUAGCCCUGGGGAGACACACAGACUGCUGCCCAGAGUCAACAAGAGAGAGGUCUGAGACUGCAUGGAAAGAGAGGUUAUACUGAGAAAACUGAAGUGUCACUGGGAACAGCUGGUUAAUAAUGAAAAUAUUGAAUAGAGCAGAUCUAGGAAUCGGUCUCUGUAACAUUGUGUGAGCAGCAGGAUGCGUGUCCCGUGUACAGAGAGCAUCCAUCAAAGGGAAUGCAGGGGGGAGAGGCUGCCUGGCCCUGUCAGCUGCAUUCCAAAGGCAGGAUUUCUGGGAAUGAUCCACAGGAGAGAGAGCUCAGGCUCCCCAGCCUUCCAGUGCAGGGUGAGGCCUGGCUSAGGCAAGAUGCAGCAUAUACAUGUGACAUCCUGGUUGCAGUAUUCUUCAUUACUCAGAAAGAUUUUUUGGUGCCAGAAGUCUGAGAAGAUUAUGGGACUGACAGAGAUAAGAACUGAAGUUAUGUUUGAYCAGAAACAAUUGUGAUGAUUUCAGAGCUUACAAAGAAAAUGCAAUUACUUUUUUGGAUUUGUCCUCUAAACAUUUUCCUGCAUGAAAACCUUUGCAGCCUCAACCAGCUCCACAAGCAGAAGAUGUUUGUGCACAUGGAAAAAUCCUUACGAGAGCAGCCUGGCGGGACACAAUCUCCACCUGAGUGCUGGGAACUGUGCAGCUUUGCAAAACAGACCUGCACCAAAUCAGAGAGCAUUCAAACCAUUUUUAUUUAUGCACACCUAACUGAAGCUUUUCUGUUGAUUUACCUUUGUUUCUAGGCCAAGCACAAAAGAAGCAAGCCUGUCUUAGCUGCAGUGAACCGUAUUAGUGUUAUCACAGUGACCAAUUUUUCUUUUGCAAAACUACCUCUACAAAUUGGUUGCCAAAACUGUUAACAUUUUGCCAAAUCUUUUGCUCAAGAGUGUUUAAAAUCUAAGUUGCAUUAACAUAUCAGCUUAGAUUAACACCACUGUGUGCAGUGGGGACUCAGUGGAUUUUUGCAUGUGAUGCCACAUAUAUUAAACUUCUUUGA